UACGAGGGGGGCAAGUGUUGUUCGGAAUUACUGGGCGUAAAGCGUGCGCAGGCGGUUUGGUAAGACAGGUGUGAAAUCCCCGGGCUCAACCUGGGAAUGGCAUUUGUGACUGCCCGGCUAGAGUGUGUCAGAGGGGGGUAGAAUUCCACGUGUAGCAGUGAAAUGCGUAGAGAUGUGGAGGAAUACCGAUGGCGAAGGCAGCCCCCUGGGAUGACACUGACGCUCAUGCACGAAAGCGUGGGGAGCAAACAGG
rnacentral:rRNA from 1 species